rnacentral:rRNA from 1 species
CCCAGACUCCUACGGGAGGCAGCAGUGAGGAAUAUUGGUCAAUGGUCGGGAGACUGAACCAGCCAAGCCGCGUGAGGGAGGAAGGUACAGAGUAUCGUAAACCUCUUUUGUCAGGGAACAAAGACUGGGACGCGUCCCCGGAUGAGUGUACCUGAAGAAAAAGCAUCGGCUAACUCCGUGCCAGCAGCCGCGGUAAUACGGAGGAUGCGAGCGUUAUCCGGAUUUAUUGGGUUUAAAGGGUGCGCAGGCGGCUGUUGAGGACAGGGAACAACCCCGGGGCCCCACCCCCGCCCCGCCGUUGAAACUGGCAGUCUCGAGUUGGAGAGAAGUAUGCGGAAUGCGCGGUGUAGCGGUGAAAUGCAUAGAUAUCGCGCAGAACUCCGAUUGCGAAGGCAGCAUGCCGGCUCCACACUGACGCUGAGGCACGAAAGCGUGGGUAUCGAACAGGAUUAGAUACCCCAGUA